CAGUAGCCGCGGUAAUACAGAGGGUGCGAGCGUUAAUCGGAUUUACUGGGCGUAAAGCGCACGUAGGCGGUUUUGUAAGUCAGAGGUGAAAGCCCGGAGCUCAACUCCGGAACUGCCUUUGAGACUGCAUCACUUGAACGUCGGAGAGGUGAGUGGAAUUCCGAGUGUAGAGGUGAAAUUCGUAGAUAUUCGGAAGAACACCAGUGGCGAAGGCGGCUCACUGGACGACUGUUGACGCUGAGGUGCGAAAGCGUGGGGAGCAAACAGGAUUAGAUACCCCUGUAGUCCCUGUCUCUUAUAC
rnacentral:rRNA from 1 species